rnacentral:rRNA from 1 species
UACGUAGGGGGCAAGCGUUGUCCGGAUUUAUUGGGCGUAAAGAGCGUGUAGGCGGCCAGGUAGGUCAGAUGUGAAAACUCGAGGCUCAACCUCGAGAUGUCGGCUGAAACCAUCUGGCUAGAGUCCGGAAGAGGAGAAUGGAAUUCCCGGUGUAGCGGUGAAAUGCGCAGAUAUCGGGAAGAACACCCGUGGCGAAGGCGGUUCUCUGGGACGGUACUGACGCUGAGACGCGAAAGCGUGGGGAGCGAACAGG